rnacentral:rRNA from 1 species
UGAUGUAUUCAAUGAGUCUAUAGCCUUGACCGAUAGGUUCGGGUAAUCUUGAUAAAUUUCAUCGUGAUGGGGAUAGAUCAUUGCAAUUGUUGAUCUUGAACGAGGAAUUCCUAGUAAGCGCGAGUCAUCAGCUCGCGUUGACUACGUCCCUGCCCUUUGUACACACCGCCCGUCGCUCCUACCGAUUGAAUGGUCCGGUGAAGUGUUUGGAUUAAGGCGACGGGAGAGACUCGUCUCUCCCGAUGUCGUGAGAAGCUCAUUGAACCUUAUCAUUUAGAGGAAGGAGAAGUCGUAACAAGGUUUCCGUAGGUGAACCUGCGGAAGGAUCAUUGCCGGUUGAUGUAUCCAUAGAAUUGACGUUGAACUUGUAAUCUGUUGAAUCUUUGGCAUGAUGCGCCGCUGUUUGAUCGAAAGACUUUCAACUGCUCAUUCAUGUCAUAACGACCUUUUACCGGCACGGCAUGUGUCAAGUGAUUUGUCCGAACGCGUCGAGCUAUGUGCGCGAUCAAGUGUCGUUGCUCUUUUGUACCGACGACUUGUAUAAUAGAAUGACUCUCAACAAUGGAUAUCUUGGCUCUUGUAUCGAUGAAGAACAUAGCGAAAUGUGAUUGUUGGUGUGAAUUGCAGGAUCCCGUGAAUCAUCGAGUUUUUGAACGCAAGUUGCGCUCGCGGCCAUUUGGUCGAGGGCUCGCCUGCUUGGGAAUCAACAUUUUAUGAUGCGCCCUCAAUAUUAUAUGAUUGACGGCGGAAAAUGACCCUCCGUGUCCGAGAGGAUUAGGUGGGUUUAACGUUAUUAAUGUUACUCUGACUCUAGAGCGAAAGAUGUCCUUGGUAGAUGCGGUUUCUGUUUGUGGGCUGCGGUUCUAUAUGAGUUUACAGUUGCGCAUUUUACGUUGGACGAUAUGCUCAAUCCGAUGCAUAAUAAACACGAUCCCA